GACGAACGCUGGCGGCGUGCUUAACACAUGCAAGUCGAACGGAAAGGCCCUGCUUUUGUGGGGUGCUCGAGUGGCGAACGGGUGAGUAACACGUGAGUAACCUGCCCUUGACUUUGGGAUAACUUCAGGAAACUGGGGCUAAUACCGGAUAGGAGCUCCUGCUGCAUGGUGGGGGUUGGAUAGUUUCUGCGGUUGGGGAUGGACUCGCGGCUUAUCAGCUUGUUGGUGGGGUAGUGGCUUACCAAGGCUUUGACGGGUAGCCGGCCUGAGAGGGUGACCGGCCACAUUGGGACUGAGAUACGGCCCAGACUCCUACGGGAGGCAGCAGUGGGGAAUAUUGCACAAUGGGCGGAAGCCUGAUGCAGCAACGCCGCGUGCGGGAUGACGGCCUUCGGGUUGUAAACCGCUUUCGCCUGUGACGAAGCGUGAGUGACGGUAAUGGGUAAAGAAGCACCGGCUAACUACGUG
rnacentral:rRNA from 1 species